UGCUGAACGCUCUGGUUGCCCAAAAUCAGCAGUCGUUCCGGAAAACAUAAAAAAUGUCACAAAAUAGUUUUAAAGGGCCGUAAACUUAAGUUGUGUGAGAUAGCUGAUGCCUUGAAGAUAUCAAAAGAUUUGGACCCCAGCGACUACUGGCUCUUUGCAGAUAUGA